ACUUGCUCCCUGAUGUUAGCGGCGGACGGGUGAGUAACACGUGGGUAACCUGCCUGUAAGACUGGGAUAACUCCGGGAAACCGGGGCUAAUACCGGAUGGUUGUUUGAACCGCAUGGUUCAGACAUAAAAGGUGGCUUCGGCUACCACUUACAGAUGGACCCGCGGCGCAUUAGCUAGUUGGUGAGGUAACGGCUCACCAAGGCGACGAUGCGUAGCCGACCUGAGAGGGUGAUCGGCCACACUGGGACUGAGACACGGCCCAGACUCCUACGGGAGGCAGCAGUAGGGAAUCUUCCGCAAUGGACGAAAGUCUGACGGAGCAACGCCGCGUGAGUGAUGAAGGUUUUCGGAUCGUAAAGCUCUGUUGUUAGGGAAGAACAAGUGCCGUUCAAAUAGGGCGGCACCUUGACGGUACCUAACCAGAAAGCCACGGCUAACUACGUGCCAGCAGCCGCGGUAAUACGUAGGUGGCAAGCGUUGUCCGGAAUUAUUGGGCGUAAAGGGCUCGCAGGCGGUUUCUUAAGUCUGAUGUGAAAGCCCCCGGCUCAACCGGGGAGGGUCAUUGGAAACUGGGGAACUUGAGUGCAGAAGAGGAGAGUGGAAUUCCACGUGUAGCGGUGAAAUGCGUAGAGAUGUGGAGGAACACCAGUGGCGAAGGCGACUCUCUGGUCUGUAACUGACGCUGAGGAGCGAAAGCGUGGGGAGCGAACAGGAUUAGAUACCCUGGUAGUCCACGCCGUAAACGAUGAGUGCUAAGUGUUA
rnacentral:rRNA from 1 species